rnacentral:rRNA from 1 species
GACAGAGGGUGCAAACGUUGUUCGGAAUUACUGGGCGUAAAGCGUGUGUAGGUGGCUGCGAAAGUCGGAUGUGAAAGCCCUGGGCUCAACUCAGGAAGUGCACCCGAUACUGCGUAGCUCGAGUACCGGAGAGGUUGGUAGAAUUCUCGGUGUAGAGGUGAAAUUCGUAGAUAUCGAAGAGGAAUACCGUGUGGCGAAGGCGGCCAACUGGACGAGUACUGACACUGAGACACGAAGCGUGGGAGCAAACAGGA